rnacentral:rRNA from 1 species
UACGGGGGGGGCAAGCGUUGUUCGGAAUUACUGGGCGUAAAGGGCGCGUAGGCGGCCUUCUAAGUCAGACGUGAAAUCCCUCGGCUCAACCGAGGAACUGCGUCUGGUACUGGAAGGCUUGAAUCCGGGAGAGGGAUGUGGAAUUCCAGGUGUAGCGGUGAAAUGCGUAGAUAUCUGGAGGAACACCGGUGGCGAAGGCGGCAUCCUGGACCGGUAUUGACGCUGAGGCACGAAAGCGUGGGGAUCAAACAGG